rnacentral:lncRNA from 1 species
CGGAAAAUAAAAUCCGAGCGCCGGUAUCCAGGAAUCUCUCGACUAUGGCGGACAGGCCGCCGAGGAAUAUUACGUCGUAACUGGAAACGCAAGAGACACAUACGCAUAAGAUGAUACGACUCUAUGUUCCUGCGCUGAGAUUAACUUUGUAUCCACCGCCGGGACCGGAAGAUACGUUACCGCCCUUCCAUGACUCGCCCAGGCCGAGGAUCUUCAAGUUAUCGCGGAAUCCAUAGAUCUCAGCCGAUCUCAAGUACCUUCGGAAGCCAUCCGUUUCGUCGGAGGCAACAGUGGCGACCAGGACAUCUAAAAUAUACGUUAACACAAGUGAUUCGUAUGAACAUUUACAUUGUAAGGCGACUAUCUCUCCUGAAGAGAAUUCACGAGAAUACGACACACAAUUCACUCGUCCGAUGAACAACGCCGGAAAUGAUGACGAUAAGGAUCGUGCGUCGGAUUACACGACGAAAGAAACAAGGACAAAGUAAAUUGGUUCGAGUUUAACGAGCAAAAUCGUUACGUCACGCUAUAUAUCACUUGACCAUUGGUGAACCUUAAAAGAUAAACCUUAGCUUUUUAGUUAGAUAGCCCCCGUAAGAUGGCCGUCUAAUAAAUAAUUUCCUCGAUUGCAAGCAUAGCGAUUCUUCGAAGACGCGUUUACUCGCGACAAAAAAGUUUUGUUAUCAGUUGACCAUAUAAGAUGCAACUUAAUAAUUAAUAAUUAGUUAUUUUUAAAAGUGUAACAACUUGUUUCACAUGAUUAAUUGUUUCAGCAAAAUAAAGCAACACCAAUUUUAUAAUUUUCUUAACGCAGAGUUACAGAUCGCUAUGCGGACAAGGAAAAGUAAACGUUAAAUGACGUAUCGCAAGAACAAUAAUGUUAGUAAAAGUUGCAAAUAACAAUGUGUAAAUAACGCCCUCGCGAGCAAAGUUUAUUAUUUCAGGCACGUAACACACAUCCAACAAGAAAAGAACCUCCUGACUCAUCGCCAACCAAACCGGGGUCGACGAACUAUGAUUUUCGCUGCCACUUUCCCGUUUCAAUAAAAUGAAUAAAUAAAUAUAAUAAUUUAUUAUAUUAACUCUUUGUAGCGUUUUGUAAUUUAUAGUUUAUCUUUCGAGAAAAUCAAAGAGUCGCGCUUAUGCGCGAAAAUGGGAUUCCCCAAUUGAACAUUUUUACCGUGAGACAACGCGUGAGUGUCCAAAAUCUAUGAAUUCGAAAAUAAAAAACAAGAUGCACGAUA